AAGCGGGUGAUCGAGAGGGUUCUCUCGUCCGCUUCAUACCUCCCUGUUGGACUUGGGCCGAGCUUCUGCUCGGCCUUUUUUUU
rfam:Rhodobacter sphaeroides 2.4.1 chromosome 1, complete sequence.